AUUGAACGCUGGCGGCAUGCCUUACACAUGCAAGUCGAACGGUAACGCGGGGCAACCUGGCGACGAGUGGCGAACGGGUGAGUAAUGCAUCGGAACGUGCCUGGUAGUGGGGGAUAACUGCUCGAAAGAGCAGCUAAUACCGCAUACGACCUGAGGGUGAAAGGGGGGGAUCGCAAGACAGCUCGCUAUCAGAGCGGCCGAUGUCGGAUUAGCUAGUUGGUGGGGUAAAGGCCCACCAAGGCAAGGAUCCGUAGCUGGUCUGAGAGGACGACCAGCCACGCUGGGACUGAGACACGGCCCAGACUCCUACGGGAGGCAGCAGUGGGGAAUUUUGGACAAUGGACGCAAGUCUGAUCCAGCAAUGCCGCGUGCGGGAAGAAGGCCUUCGGGUUGUAAACCGCUUUUGUUAGGGAAGAAAUUCUCCGGGCUAAUACCCAGGGGGGAUGACGGUACCUAAAGAAUAAGCACCGGCUAACUACGUGACAGCCGCCGCAGUAA
rnacentral:rRNA from 1 species